UACACCAUCACCCCCCAAAUUUCUUUUUGGGUGUGUCGGCAUUUAUUGCUGGCUGUAGGGGUGGAUCUGACUUCCCCAACCUGCAAUGCGUUUGGUUGGGCUAGUUGAAGUGCAGAGGCUUAAGCAAGGACCCAUUAAGGGCUUCAACUGGAUAGGUAGCACCGGCUUGUGCCGACUACACGAAGUUGUUGCUUGUGGAUCUUGCUGGUGCCAAGCAGGAACGUGCCAAAUGGCAUGUUUAAAC
rnacentral:misc_RNA from 1 species